rnacentral:rRNA from 1 species
GACGAACGCUGGCGGCGUGCUUAACACAUGCAAGUCGAACGGAAAGGCCCUGCUUUUGUGGGGUGCUCGAGUGGCGAACGGGUGAGUAACACGUGAGUAACCUGCCCUUGACUUUGGGAUAACUUCAGGAAACUGGGGCUAAUACCGGAUAGGAGCUCCUGCUGCAUGGUGGGGGUUGGAAAGUUUCGGCGGUUGGGGAUGGACUCGCGGCUUAUCAGCUUGUUGGUGGGGUAGUGGCUUACCAAGGCUUUGACGGGUAGCCGGCCUGAGAGGGUGACCGGCCACAUUGGGACUGAGAUACGGCCCAGGCUCCUACGGGAGGCAGCAGUGGGGAAUAUUGCACAAUGGGCGGAAGCCUGAUGCAGCAACGCCGCGUGCGGGAUGACGGCCUUCGGGUUGUAAACCGCUUUCGCCUGUGACGAAGCGUGAGUGACGGUAAUGGGUAAAGAAGCACCGGCUAACUACGUGCCAGCAGCCGCGGUGAUACGUAGGGUGCGAGCGUUGUCCGGAUUUAUUGGGCGUAAAGGGCUCGUAGGUGGUUGAUCGCGUCGGAAGUGUAAUCUUGGGGCUUAACCCUGAGCGUGCUUUCGAUACGGGUUGACUUGAGGAAGGUAGGGGAGAAUGGAAUUCCUGGUGGAGCGGUGGAAUGCGCAGAUAUCAGGAGGAACACCAGUGGCGAAGGCGGUUCUCUGGGCCUUUCCUGACGCUGAGGAGCGAAAGCGUGGGGAGCGAACAGGCUUAGAUACCCUGGUAGUCCACGCUGUAAACGGUGGGUACUAGGUGUGGGGUCCAUUCCACGGGUUCCGUGCCGUAGCUAACGCUUUAAGUACCCCGCCUGGGGAGUACGGCCGCAAGGCUAAAACUCAAAGGAAUUGACGGGGCCCCGCACAAGCGGCGGAGCAUGCGGAUUAAUUCGAUGCAACGCGUAGAACCUUACCUGGGUUUGACAUGGAUCGGGAGUGCUCAGAGAUGGGUGUGCCUCUUUUGGGGUCGGUUCACAGGUGGUGCAUGGCUGUCGUCAGCUCGUGUCGUGAGAUGUUGGGUUAAGUCCCGCAACGAGCGCAACCCUUGUUCACUGUUGCCAGCACGUUAUGGUGGGGACUCAGUGGAGACCGCCGGGGUCAACUCGGAGGAAGGUGGGGAUGACGUCAAGUCACCAUGCCCCUUAUGUCCAGGGCUUCACGCAUGCUACAAUGGCUGGUACAGAGAGUGGCGAGCCUGUGAGGGUGAGCGAAUCUCGGAAAGCCGGUCUCAGUUCGGAUUGGGGUCUGCAACUCGACCCCAUGAAGUCGGAGUCGCUAGUAAUCGCAGAUCAGCAACGCUGCGGUGAAUACGUUCCCGGGGCU